UAGGGAAUUUUCGGCAAUGGACGAAAGUCUGACCGAGCAACGCCGCGUGAGUGAAGAAGGUUUUCGGAUCGUAAAACUCUGUUGUUAGAGAAGAACAAGGACGUUAGUAACUGAACGUCCCCUGACGGUAUCUAACCAGAAAGCCACGGCUAACUACGUGCCAGCAGCCGCGGUAAUACGCUGGUGGCAAGCGUUGUCCGGAUUUAUUGGGCGUAAAGCGAGCGCAGGCGGUUUCUUAAGUCUGAUGUGAAAGCCCCCGGCUCAACCGGGGAGGGUCAUUGGAAACUGGGAGACUUGAGUGCAGAAGAGGAGGGUGGAAUUCCAUGUGUAGCGGUGAAAUGCGUAGAUAUAUGGAGGAAAACCAGUGGCGAAGGCGGCUCUCUGGGCUGUAACUGACGCUGAGGCUCGAAAGCGUGGGGAGCAAACAGG
rnacentral:rRNA from 1 species